GACGAAUUUGCAUAUCAUGGUUGGGAUGAGACUCCAAGCUGGCAGGGUGCGCGAUGGGUGGCUACUUGGUAAGUUAUGCAUUUAAAUGCAUGGUUCUAUCUAAAAGUAAAAUGUUUGUGUCUGUAAUUAUUAUUACUGCCCAUCAGGAGACAGUGGUUAUCCACUAAAGACGUGGCUGUUAACCCCCCUCACCAACCCACAAACUGACCGAGAGCGCAGAUACAAUGAUGCCCAUUCCCGCACUCGGUCAGUUGUGAAGCGGGCGAUUGGGCAGCUGAAAUGUCGGUGGCGCUGCCUUGACAGGACCGGGGGGAUGCUGUUAUACCGCCCUGACAAGGUUUGCCGCAUCAUACUGGCCUGUGGAGUGCUGCACAAUGUCGCGCACAGGCAUGGCAUACCCCUUGGUGAGGUGGGGGCACCGCCAGAUGACCCUGACCCAGGACCAGUAUAUGUGCAGCACAAUCAACAAGCCAUUCAGGCCCGUCAACGUGUAAUUGCGACAAUAUAAAUGAACAGCAUGCGUCAAGACACGGCCAGAUGGACGGGCUUCAGCACUGGGGGGAACAUUAGAGACACGGGAGACGCUGGACUGAAUGGGC